UCUUCGGCAUCCCGGCAGCUAUCUACAAAACGUUCCUUUAUCGCCUUCAACAUGAAUAUGAAAAUCGCCAUCUUCUUUGUUUUUAUGUUAAUCGGUACCAUCAUGGCCGAAAAUGACAACGAAACGUGCUACGCCUGCGGACCCGAGUGCGCGCCCGCGUGCGGUACCAAGCACUUCAGAACAUGCUGCCACAACUAUAUGAGGAGGAACAUACGUGGCAUUAAGCUGCAGGAUCUAGAUCAAAAUUAGUCACACAGAAGAACAACGACGACCACAGACGAACCAGGACUCC